rnacentral:rRNA from 1 species
UAGGGAAUAUUGGACAAUGGGGGCAACCCUGAUCCAGCCAUGCCGCGCGAGUGAAGAAGGCCCUCGGGUUGUAAAGCUCUUUUGUCCGGAAAGAAAAGCUUCGGGUUAAUACCCCGGGGUUCUGACGGUACCGGAAGAAUAAGCACCGGCUAACUUCGUGCCAGCAGCCGCGGUAAUACGAAGGGUGCAAGCGUUACUCGGAAUUACUGGGCGUAAAGCGUGCGUAGGUGGUUGUUUAAGUCUGAUGUGAAAGCCCUGGGCUCAACCUUGGAAUGGCAUUGGAAACUGGGCAGCUAGAGUGCUGUAGAGGGUAGUGGAAUUCCCGGUGUAGCAGUGAAAUGCGUAGAGAUCGGGAGGAACAUCUGUGGCGAAGGCGACUGCCUGGACCAGCACUGACACUGAGGCACGAAAGCGUGGGGAGCAAACA